rnacentral:misc_RNA from 1 species
GUGGAAUCUCAUUAAUUCCAAAGAUUAAAAUUACUGCUUUUCACCAUAGAAACCAUUGUUGAACAAUGACACUUAGUUGCUUGGUGCAUGUAAGGCAUAGCCACAUAAAAGGUGCAACACUAUUACAGAAAGCUUCAUUAGUUUCAGAAAAGAACAACUAUUUUAACCACAAUAAACAGUACAAUUUUCCUGCCUCCAAGGAUCAUCAACGAGUAUACCUGGCCUCAACAAGCAAGGUGAUCUAUUACCACGGCAAUUAAAACUUUGCAAAUUGAGAACAAAAGCCAUCCUAAUGUAAAUUUUUAUUCAAACCACUAAAAAGUAUAUCUUGCAAUACCUAAACUAAUGGGUCCAGCACCAAUUAGGAAUGCAUAACCAACAUCCAAGAACAGACAGUGUUAAUACAAAGAACAAAAACUAAGAUUUGAAAAUGAUACGCAUCCUCCAACAUGGUUCCAAACAUAAAAACAUAUAAUAUAAACUUCCUAAUAAACCUGAGACAUAGAUAAAAAAAAAUGAGGCAGCACAGAUGGGGCAAAUUUCUCAUAGGUACAUGCUGAAGUGCCAUUGCUUGAAAUAUCAAAUUUGAUAGAGAAAGAAAAUGUUAUUAUAACAAAAUUUUAAGACUUCUGAAAAUGGCAGCUGAUUAUAUGUAGGGGAGUUUUAAUGAAACCUCUGAAUCACAUCUACUUAUUCAUUUGCACACACAAUGUAAUUAUACAUGAAAACAAAUGGUACACAAAAGAUUACCUUAGGACAAUAAUGGAAUGCAC